rnacentral:rRNA from 1 species
GACGAACGCUGGCGGCGUGCUUAACACAUGCAAGUCGAAAGAAGUUGCGUACGGGUGAGUAACGCGUAAUCAACCUGCCCUUCAGGGGGGGACAACAGUUGGAAACGAAUGCUAAUCCCGCAUACUGAAGGAGGGGAUUGCGUUUGAUUAGCUAGUGGGCGGGGUAACGGCCCACCAAGGCGAUGAUCAGUCGCCGGUCUGAGAGGAUGAUCAGUCACCCUGGAACUGAGACACGGUCCAGACUCCUACGGGAGGCAGCAGUGGGGAAUAUUGGACAAUGGGCGAAAGCCUGAUCCAGCCAUGCCGCGUGUGUGAAGAAGGUCUUCGGAUUGUAAAGCACUUUAAGUUGGGAGGCGUUACCAACAGAAUAAGCACCGGCUAACUUCGUGCCAGCAGCCGCGGUAAUUC